AUCGGAGGUCAAGUAUUUUUGUAGUCGUUAUUUGCUGUUAAAAUCACAUCAAGAACCCACUUUUUUAUGAAGAUAUGAUGUCCCUAACAACUAUCACAGAUGAAAAUAUACCGGAGGGAAUGACAACGCAGACGACAAUAAAGAGCAUCAGGAGCAACAAGGAACCGUCACCGAAUUAUGAAAAAGAAAGGGAAAAUUGUGUGAGAUAUUUUGAUCAGUGGAAAGAAAAUGAACAAAUUGAAUUUGUAGAACAGUUAAUUUCACGCAUGUGCCACUACCAGCACGGACAUAUCAAUUCUUUUUUGAAACCUAUGUUACAACGGGAUUUUAUUACAGCAUUACCAAAAAAAGGUUUAGACCAUGUAGCAGAAAAUAUUUUGUCAUACUUAGAUGCAAAAUCAUUAUGUGCUGCUGAGCUGGUGUGCAAAGAAUGGUAUAGAGUAAUUCAAGAUGGUAUGCUCUGGAAAAAAUUAAUUGAAAGAAUGGUGAGAACGGACCCACUCUGGAAAGGUUUAUCGGAAAGGAGGGGGUGGAGUCAAUAUUUAUUCCGUCCCAAACCAGGGGAAAUUCAACCAACUAACGACUUUUUCCGUAGUCAAUAUCCUAGAAUAAUAGAAGACAUAGAAGCAAUUGAAACAAAUUGGCGAUGUGGUAGGCAUACGCUUCAAAGGAUACAUUGCAGAAGUGAAAAUAGUAAAGGUGUUUAUUGUUUGCAGUACGACGACCAAAAAAUAGUUAGUGGUCUUAGAGAUAACACAAUAAAGAUAUGGGAUAGAAACUCAUUGGACUGUGUCCAAGUCCUAACGGGCCACACUGGUUCAGUAUUAUGUUUACAGUAUGAUGAGAAUGUUAUCAUCACAGGUUCAAGUGAUUCUACAGUCAGAGUGUGGAAUGUUCAUAAUGCAGAAAUGGUUAAUACACUUAUACACCAUUGUGAAGCUGUUUUACAUCUUAGGUUUAAUGAUGGUAUGAUGGUUACUUGUUCAAAGGACCGUUCAAUAGCAGUUUGGGACAUGCAGUCAUCCACAGACAUCAAUCUACGGCGGGUGUUGGUUGGACAUCGAGCUGCUGUGAAUGUUGUAGAUUUUGAUGAUAAAUAUAUUGUGUCAGCGUCUGGUGAUAGAACAAUCAAAGUUUGGAGUACGUCAACUUGUGAAUUUGUGCGAACUCUUAAUGGUCACAGAAGGGGCAUAGCGUGUCUGCAAUACAGAGACAGAUUAGUAGUUAGUGGUUCUUCAGAUAAUACAAUUAGGUUAUGAUAAUGCGUUUGAACAUAACAGUUUUCUAAUGCAGUGUGCAUUACAAUGAUUAUCACAUGUUUUACU
rnacentral:sRNA from 1 species